GCCAGCGGUUCGGCCGGGCACUCUAUUGAGACUGCCGUUGACAAAACGGAGGAAGGUGGGGAUGACGUCAAGUCCUCAUGGCCUUUAUGUCCAGGGCUACACACGUGCUACAAUGGCGAGUACAAAGCGCUGCAAACCUGCAAAGGGGAGCCAAUCGCAAAAA
rnacentral:rRNA from 1 species